CACGCAGAACAUGGUCACCAUGGGUGACUUCAAUUACCCAGACAUCUCUUGGGAAGAACACUCAGCUAAGUCAGAUCGCCAUGCUCAGGGGA